rnacentral:lncRNA from 1 species
CAGUGUUGUUCCAAUAGGGUCGGAAGCGUGUAAAUUAUUGUACUAAAAAAUCACACAAAGUUCAAUUCCCAGGGAAGAGAGGUGGAUCACAUGGAUCUCUUAAAUACCAAGUCUUUCCUUAGACAGAAUAUCCCUUCUAUAGUAAUUUAAUAGCACAAUUAAAUACUACUAUUAUACCCUCAAAUAUUGAAAGAAAAAUAGGACAAGAAAGAACACAAGAGAUUUAACGAGGUUCGGUAAAUUAUACCUACGUCCUCGGGCACUAACACCAGAUGAUAACUUUACUAUCUCCAAAGUAUUAC